CCGAGGAUUGAUGGCCGUCAAAGCCAAUUAAAUUCAUGGUCAGAGGAGAAUGGGUGGAGAGUUGGUGAGGUGUCCUGGUGAGUUGCUAUCAUUUAGCAAUGCAGCAACGAGCGCUUGAGCUAUCCCCCCUCCCCGGAUAAACCCUACGAUUAGUUAUCCCACGUUUUGAUGGUUGCCUAAUAGCUCCAGUAACUACCGGUACAUAUUUUGCCUAGUCUUUAUUUCUAAGCUUUUACAUAUUCCUCGGGUGAAAGUGUUGUUGCAAACGUACCCGGUAGCCGCCGAUCACGUAGGCUGGUCAUGAAUUCAGCGGUGAUUAUUUUCGAUUCUACUCCUCGUGAUUGAUUGUCAUUGACACCAUCAGGGUACCGCUUACAGAGAGAGGGAGAGUAGUAAGCGUGUCUGUGUCGCUGUGUUUGGCAGGUGUUUGUGUGGGCGGUGCCGUCCUAUGGAAUCUGUGGUGGAGAGCUUGUGCUGUAGGGAAGUGAGUGCGUUUUGGUCGCUGGUCGAGAAGCUCAGCCCAAGACCAGCAGAUGUGACAUGCCUCACUCAGCAUCCAGGAUUUGAUGCAUGCUGCCUGAAUCCGUUUGUGCUUAAGAUAGCGUACACACAUUUCAAGCAGGAUCAUGGUCCCCUUCAAGCCAGCACGCACGAGCAAUACCGGUACACUGCAUACAGGCAGGCUAUACGAUGGGCUUAUGGAGUUCUUGGCCUGCAUAUAAGGAAGCCUCUACCCUCCUGUCUGGUUUCAGCCAUCAGGCAACAAUUUCAGAGUGGUGACCAGACCUAUCAUGGCUUUCAAUGGCCUCGUUUGGAUGAAGAAUAAAAACCAUAUUGGCACGU
rnacentral:lncRNA from 1 species